UUUGCGGGCUGUAGGUCGACUCUCAGACCCUCCCCUUCUACCCCUGUGGCGCUGUCCCCAUUUUGCUUCAGCCUUCCAGAGUUGCAGGCAGGGUCGUAUCCAGUCCUAGGGCUGGCCAACCGAAAAUGAAGAGUAAAAACCCCCAAGUAUAGGUAUUGCUAAUAUAUCAGCUCCUCCAACCGAGUUCAUCAGUUCCUCUUCCUCAGUUCCUCCAACCCGAUUAGCUCCAGAUUACCCACAUAAAGGGAAGAUAUUGGCGGGAGAGAUUGCUGAAGAAGAAUGAGGUGCUGAAUUCAUGUCUGUCUCUGUUGUUGGGUGGAGGUUCGCUUCAAUUGAAAGGUAUUCAUGGAUCAGAAGGCUUUUGUUCUCUGCUUUAGGCAUGGAAGGUGUGGGAAAGAUAAUCAGAGCGGUCCUUUGGGCAAUAGUUCUGCAAUCAUUAGUGAACAAAGAGGCAUAUGUGACCUUACUUGAUGGCGAUGUCAUCCGAUUUGGGAUGUCAACUCGAUUAUACCAAUUCCAAGCACCUUCUGAGUAUAAGCACAUUCAGGAGACUGAUGCUCCAGUAAGACUCCAAAUACAAUUGCUGAGAAGUGGAUCUACACCGUUGGAUGCUGAUAGCUUGACUUCUGAGAGCAAUUGGACUUUUGACCAUGUCACAAAACCGUGGAUUUUGAAGACUCAUUUGGCAAAUGCUGUCAAAGUUGAUGACAUCAGGAGAUUUUUGGUGUUGCAACAUGUUGAAAAGCUGGAUCUUCCGUUUAUAGCUAUGUGUACGAGGGAGGAUUGCCCGAGUUUAUUCAAAGAUCCUGAUCAACUUGAAGAUUAUCCUCCAGAUCAGGAUAAAAGUGAGCUAAACUGGCACAAGAUACUUUGGGCCAUUCAAGAUUUGGACCUCGAAUGGCUCAUGCUCCAGAAGCGGAAGCGGGAAUUGAAAGAUCGUUGUCAGAAGUUCUUUGACGAAUCACGAAGGCCACAUGAUAAGAUGAGACAGUCACUAUAUAAGAAGAUUUUUCAAUCUUCUAUGAAGUUCCUUGAGAGUGCUAACUCAGAGAGAGAGGUUGAGGACGUUGAAACAAAAUUCAUAUUCCAUUUCAAUCAAGAUGUGUUACCUCUUGAGCUACAUAAUGUCGCUGAGGAAGAUAUUUGGAAACAAAUGUGGGAAGCAUGCCAGUAUAACGUGAAAUCAGUUUAUAGCGUCUGCAGCAAGGCUGGCCUGUGGAGGGUUGCAUACAACUUUGGUCCUAGCUCUGAAGAACUUGGGUUGCAAUUAUCAAGGGAAAUGAAUGUCAAUGAGCUGGAGGAACCUGAAGAGAUGCCAUUGGAGAUUGCUGCAAGAUUUACAUCAGAUAUUUUUCGAACGCUAGAAGACGUGCUUAAAAGCUCUUAGCAGCUAUUGAGAUUAGUUUGGAGCCUAUUAUCAGGCAGUAUAUGCGAAGAAAAUACUUUGACGCCCUUGUAUUACGUACAAGGCUAUCAAGUGAAACGUGGCCUGAAGUAGGAAAGAGAUUAAGUGAAAUCAAGGACGAAGAAUUGUUUCGUAUCCAGAAGGCUAAAGAUGAUGACUUGAUUUCACCAUAAAGCUGCUGGAUGAUGAUGUAGAAGACUUGUUAAUGAACUUGAAGAGGUUCUAUCUAUAGUACGUCAUAAACUUCAAAACAUCGUCUCGAUCUUGUUGCUUCAAAACAACACUAUCAUGAGAGAGAUUGGUGAGAUAAUGUAUGCAGAGCUUGUUUAGCAUAUCCCCAGAUGAAUCUAUCACAACAAAAGUGGUGUCGGUUAUCCCAGGUCCCAAACAACAAGCAAUGACUAAUAUAUCUGUGGGACCUUGGCAUGAAGAGCGGGAGAAGAUACUUGAGAAUGCCUUCUUUAGAUACCUUCUGCCUUCAAUGAUGCAUGAAGCCUGAUCCUUGUGCAGAAAUAGAGUAAUAAGCUGGUUGCUUUUUGAAUAUGGAGAAGCUUUGUGGAAAUGAGUUUCUGUGAUACCAAAUCGAUGGAAGCAAAGUCAUAGCUCAGAAGAUCAUGUGGUACCCAAGGUCAUUGCUUGUUGUUUGGGACCUGGGAUUACCGACACCACUUUUGUUGUGAUAGAUUCAUCUGGGGAUGUGCUAAACAAGCUCUGCAUACAUUAUCUCACCAAUUUCUCUCAUGAUAGUGUUGUUUUGAAGCAACAAGCUAGAUCGAUGUUUUGAAGUUUAUGACGUACUAUAAACCAGAUGUUGUUGUUCUUCCUCCUCCAUCUAUCUUGCAAGACGAGAUUCCAAAGUUACUUAUGGAUCACUUUUCCUUUUCUCAAUUUAUCACCUCUGAUGCAAUCUGGAAGGCCAAAAUCUCUCCUAAGAGCUGCUGUUCUCUGGCUCUUACGAGUACUCUGAUAGUGGAGGAGUGUAGAGUCAUGGUGUUAGUCAACUCCUGUUUCCUAGCUAAUUCUUUUUCAUGUGUUCUUAUUGAAGUUGUAAUCAGUCCUUAGAUUUUUCUCAAUUUGAACAGUUCAAAUAUUUCUUCUGCUUUCUAGAUUCUUUUAUUUUCAACAUUAUAUUCUGCGCAGGUCAACUCGAUUAUACCAAUUCCAAGCACCUUCUGAGUAUAAGCACAUUCAGGAGACUGAUGCUCCAGAAAGACUCCCAAAUACAAUUGCUGAGAAGUGGAUCUACACCGUUAGAUGCUGAUAGCUUGACUUCUGAGAGCAAUUGGAUUUUUGAUCAUGCCACAAAACCGUGGAUUUCGAAGACUCAUUUGGCAAAUGCUGUCAAAGUUGAUGACAUCAGGAGAUUUUUGGUGUUGCAACAUGUUGAAAAGCUGGAUCUAUGUGUAGGAGGGAGGAUUGCCUGAGUUUAUUCAAAGAUCCUGAUCAACUUGAAGAUUAUCCUCCACAUCAGGAUAAAAGUGAAAUAAAGUAGCACAAGGUACUUUGGGCCAUUCAAGAUUUGGACCUCGAAUGGCUCAUGCUCCAGAAGCGGAAGCGGGAAUUGAAAGAUCGUUGUCAGAAGUGCUUUGACGACGAAUCACGAAGUCCACAUGAAGAGAUGAGUCAGUCACUAUAUAAGAAGAUUUUUCAAUCUUCUAUGAAGUUCCUUGAGAGUGCUACCUCAGAGAGAGAGAGAGAGGUUGAGGACGUUGAAAUAAAAUUCAUAUUCCAUUUCAAUCAAGAUGUGUUGCCUCUUGAGCUACAUAAUGUCGCUGAGGAAGAUAUUUGGAAGCAAGUGUGGGAAGCAUGCCAGUAUAAGGUGGAACCAGUUUAUAGCGUCUGCAGCAAGGCUGGCCUGUGGAGGGUUGCAUGCAACUUCGGUCCUAGCUCUGAAGAACUUGGGUUGCAAUGAUCAGGGGAAAUGAAUAUCAAUGAGCUGGAGGAACCUGGAGAGAUGCCACUGGACAUUGCUGCAAGAUUUACAUCCAAUAUUUUUCGAACGCGGGAACACGUGCUUAAAGGAGCAAGGCUGUUAACAGCUGUUGAGAUUAGUUUGGAACCUAUUA